AUCUCUCCUUGCCUACCUUCUCGUCACCUUCCUCAAAUAGAGCAGCUGCGAGUAAGCAAAGCGAAUGUAUACAUGUACCUCGCGUAUUCGUGUGGUGGUUGAUCCGCGCCUGCGCGCGAGGGGAGUAGAAGCUCCCAACUUGUGGUGCUCUUGCCAAUGGCCAUGCCGUGGGAAAUGGUGGUGUGCAUAGCGGGCAACGUGUGGGUGCUGCUCGACGGCUGGAUCUCCGUCUGCUUCCUGGCCGCGGACGAGGCCGCCCGCCUCCUCCGGUCGGCUACGGAUUGAUGGCCAGGAUAACUCGAGGAAAUGUUGAUCAAAUGUGAAAUAUGUAUGGAGCAUGGUGUUAUUAUGCGAGAGAAACUGUUAAGUACCUCUUCAAGGAGAUGGAGGGAGGAAAAUUGGUGGAGCAAUUCAUGGUCCGGCUACUCUAUAACCUCAAGAUGACGCAGCCAUUGGAACCAAGCUAUAGAAGUGAAACUGUGUGAACUAUGUGGGAAUCCAAUGUUGGAGACACACUUAAUGGCGGAGGAUCACGUUGUAAUAUUUCGAGAAGCACACCAUAGAUGGUGAUUAAAUCAAUGUACUGAUGCGAGAGAAGUCGCUUUAAUACUAUGCCCAACCAGUAGAGUAGAAUUUUAGUUUGUACUGUGUGGUUUGUAUCACCUAUGUACGAUUAUUUUGGGUGUUGCUUAACUUUUCAAGCAAUACUUGUAAGGGAUGUUCCUUGCGGUGUUA